rnacentral:misc_RNA from 1 species
AAAGUCGUAACAAGGUUUCCGUAGGUGAACCUGCGGAAGGAUCAUUAAAAAAGAUACAUAAAAACUAUCUUUUCUUUUAGAAGCGCGUGCUUUUCAGCAUGUCAAUCUGAAUAAACACCCCUCUGCGUACCCUCUACCCGGUUGCUUCCGCGAAGAAGGUGGGGAAGGAAGCCCCCUCCUCACAUCCUCGCGAAAGGCAUACUUUUCAAACCUUUUUCGUCGAAUUUAUUUUCAGUAUGUGUAAAAUUGUCUGAUUUUUUUUUAUGCCGCACGUAAAAACUGCGCGCAGAUUUUUUCCAAAUAAAAAUAAAACAAGUUUUUAAAACUUUCAACAACGGAUCUCUUGGUUCUC